UACGUAGGGUGCGAGCGUUAAUCGGAAUUACUGGGCGUAAAGCGUGCGCAGGCGGUUUUGUAAGCCAGAUGUGAAAUCCCCGGGCUUAACCUGGGAAUGGCAUUUGGGACUGCAAGGCUGGAGUAUGGCAGAGGGGACUAGAAUUCCUGGUGUAGCAGUGAAAUGCGUAGAUAUCAGGAGGAAUACCGAUGGCGAAGGCAGGUCCCUGGGCCAAUACUGACGCUCAUGCACGAAAGCGUGGGGAGCAAACAGG
rnacentral:rRNA from 1 species